GACGAACGCUGGCGGCGUGCCUAAUACAUGCAAGUAGAACGCUGAAGCGAGGAGCUUGCUCUUCUUGGAUGAGUUGCGAACGGGUGAGUAACGCGUAGGUAACCUGCCUUGUAGCGGGGGAUAACUAUUGGAAACGAUAGCUAAUACCGCAUAACAAUGGAUGACCCAUGUCAUUUAUUUGAAAGGGGCAAAUGCUCCACUACAAGAUGGACCUGCGUUGUAUUAGCUAGUAGGUGAGGUAACGGCUCACCUAGGCGACGAUACAUAGCCGACCUGAGAGGGUGAUCGGCCACACUGGGACGGAGACACGGCCCAGACUCCUACGGGAGGCAGCAGUAGGGAAUCUUCGGCAAUGGGGGCAACCCUGACCGAGCAACGCCGCGUGAGUGAAGAAGGUUUUCGGAUCGUAAAGCUCUGUUGUAAGUCAAGAACGAGUGUGAGAGUGGAAAGUUCACACUGUGACGGUAGCUUACCAGAAAGGGACGGCUAACUACGUG
rnacentral:rRNA from 1 species